rnacentral:rRNA from 1 species
UACGGAGGAUCCGAGCGUUAUCCGGAUUUAUUGGGUUUAAAGGGUGCGCAGGCGGGAGAUUAAGUCGGCGGUGAAAUUCUGCAGCUCAACUGUAAAAGUGCCUUCGAAACUGGUUUCCUUGAGUGUGGAUGAAGUAGGCGGAAUUUGUGGUGUAGCGGUGAAAUGCAUAGAUAUCACGAGGAACUCCGAUUGCGCAGGCAGCUUACUAAACCAUAACUGACGCUCAGGCACGAAGGCGUGGGGAUCAAACAGGAUUAGAUACCCGGGUAGU